UGGCCAUAGUCUACAGACCCAUGCUAUAAUACACGAGUAACUGGUGUGAGUAACUACACACAGACAGAAAAGCACCCAGUGAACAGUGCCUUCAUUUCUCGAAUUUCCUGCUUUCUGUCAACAUGCAUCACACAGUUACAUGCUCUUCCUGUGGUUGCAAUCAGUUUAUCUUUGCAUUCUGCUGUUUUAAAAUUUAACGCCCAUUUCUGUGGAUUGGCAUAGCCCACAUUCUUGUGAAUCACCCACAGUGAUUCCUGCAGUGUUGUCCCCAGCCUCAAGCCUCUCUGCACCGUAAUUGUGCUUCUUUUCCUCAGAUACCUGCCUUGCAUUGGCCCUGGGUAAAUGUUUCCCUUGGCUGUGAAUAGGCAAUUAAAAUUCUGAACCUUUUAUGGCUCUGGAAGCUUAUCCGAUGAAACAAUACUCAUCCAGGCGGAUGGCCCACCAGCGCAAAGGGCUGAGGCCGCUGUAAGCCAAGGUACGCAACGCUUGCUAAACAGGAAUCCCUGGAAUGAAUCCAUGCAUGAGGCCUUUGUGCCAUGUGACAGUUGAAGGCUGUGGUGACCCCGGAACCGUCCCACUCCGAGACGCCUUAACACCGUUUUUCUGCUGUUACAAACCACAGAGCAACGCGUGUGCCUCCUCCCGCCCUGGGGACUCUUUCUGUGGGAGAGGUGCCUGGAUUUAGAGGAGCGACCACUCUUCAUUUGUAGGAUCUUGGUCACUUUCCCAGUUGUCACUCGGCCCACAAACUAGGAUGUGAGCAGCAUAUUAAGAAUCUGCAGAGAUGUUCCCGUCUGCCCGGCAUAUGGAUGUCCUUCUGGGCUGCAAAGUGGCAUCCUGUGGGCAACUCCCCCCACAACAACCAGCUGUGAGCUGUGCCCAGGCACAGAGGGACCUGGCUUUCCCUGUUUCUGCAGAUGGAGCCCAGGGUUUCAGGGAGGGAGGGGGCAGGCUGGGACCUGUUGGGGAUCUGGGCACUUUCUCAUGCUCCUUGAGCUGCAAGUCAUAGAAGGAGUGGGGUGGGAGCUGGGAAUGUACCUUCCCAAGGCCACUGGCAGAACCAGCAGGCCCUUUGCUCUGGGAUGAGCUCCCUCUGAGGGGUGGGGACAGUAAAGCGGACCGAAGUCCCUGUUCUGCGGGAUGGAAACUGGCUCCCCUCCAUUGUACAGGCCAGCUCUGGGGAUUUGGGCAGCAGAUUUGGGGUUGACAGCAGAAUGACAUGAUCACCAGUUGACCUUGGCCAGGAUGCCAGCUUACUUUCUCGCUUACUUCUGCAGGUUCUUUGUUCUGCGG
rnacentral:lncRNA from 1 species